rnacentral:rRNA from 1 species
UACGAAGGGGGCUAGCGUUGCUCGGAAUCACUGGGCGUAAAGCGCACGUAGGCGGAUUGCUAAGUCAGGGGUGAAAUCCUGGAGCUCAACUCCAGAACUGCCUUUGAUACUGGUGAUCUUGAGUCCGGGAGAGGUAAGUGGAACUGCGAGUGUAGAGGUGAAAUUCGUAGAUAUUCGCAAGAACACCAGUGGCGAAGGCGGCUCACUGGCCCGGUACUGACGCUGAGGUGCGAAAGCGUGGGGAGCAAACAGG